AUGAACGCUGGCGGCGUGCCUAAUACAUGCAAGUCGAGCGAACGGACGAGAAGCUUGCUUUUCUGAUGUUAGCGGCGGACGGGUGAGUAACACGUGGAUAACCUACCUAUAAGACUGGGAUAACUUCGGGAAACCGGAGCUAAUACCGGAUAAUAUUUUGAACCGCAUGGUUCAAAAGUGAAAGACGGUCUUGCUGUCACUUAUAGAUGGAUCCGCGCUGCAUUAGCUAGUUGGUAAGGUAACGGCUUACCAAGGCAACGAUGCAUAGCCGACCUGAGAGGGUGAUCGCCCACACUGGAACUGAGACACGGUCCAGACUCCUACGGGAGGCAGCAGUAGGGAAUCUUCCGCAAUGGGCGAAAGCCUGACGGAGCAACGCCGCGUGAGUGAUGAAGGUCUUCGGAUCGUAAAACUCUGUUAUUAGGGAAGAACAUAUGUGUAAGUAACUGUGCACAUCUUGACGGUACCUAAUCAGAAAGCCACGGCUAACUACGUG
rnacentral:rRNA from 1 species